rnacentral:rRNA from 1 species
UACAGAGGGUGCAAGCGUUAAUCGGAAUUACUGGGCGUAAAGCGUGCGUAGGCGGAUAUUUAAGUCAAAUGUGAAAGCCCCGGGCUUAACCUGGGAAUUGCAUUCGAUACUGGAUGUCUAGAGUAUGGUAGAGGAUGGCGGAAUUUCCGGUGUAGCGGUGAAAUGCGUAGAUAUCGGAAGGAACACCAGUGGCGAAGGCGGCCAUCUGGGCCAAUACUGACGCUGAGGCACGAAAGCGUGGGGAGCGAACAGG